rnacentral:rRNA from 1 species
AUACGGAGGGUGCAAGCGUUAUUCGGAAUCACUGGGCGUAAAGGGUGCGUAGGCGGUUUGAUAGGUCUGAUGUGAAAUCCUAUGGCUCAACCAUAGAACUGCAUUGGAAACUGUCAGACUAGAAUACUGAAGGGGCAGAUGGAAUUAGUGGUGUAGGGGUAAAAUCCGUAGAUAUCACUAGGAAUACCGAAAGCGAAAGCGAUCUGCUGGGAAGUUAUUGACGCUGAGGCACGAAAGCGUGGGGAGCAAACGGGAUUAGAAACCCAGUAGUCC